AGUGAACGCUGGCGGUAGGCCUAACACAUGCAAGUCGAACGGCAGCACAGUAAGAGCUUGCUCUUACGGGUGGCGAGUGGCGGACGGGUGAGGAAUACAUCGGAAUCUACUUUUUCGUGGGGGAUAACGUAGGGAAACGUACGCUAAUACCGCAUACGACCUACGGGUGAAAGCAGGGGAUCUUCGGACUUUGCGCGAUUGAAUGAGCCGAUGUCGGAUUAGCUAGUUGGCGGGGUAAAGGCCCACCAAGGCGACGAUCCGUAGCUGGUCUGAGAGGAUGAACCGCCACAUUGGAACUGAGACACGGUCCAGACUCCUACGGGAGGCAGCAGUGGGGAAUAUUGGACAAAGGGGGCAAGGCGGAUCCAGGCAUACCGCGUGGGUGCAGAAGGCCUUCGGGUUGUAAAGCCCUUUUGUUCGGAAAGAAAAACAGCAGGUUAAUACCCCGCUGUUCUGACGGUACCCAAAGAAUAAGCACCGGCUAACUUCGUG
rnacentral:rRNA from 1 species